UACGUAGGGUGCGAGCGUUAAUCGGAAUUACUGGGCGUAAAGCGUGCGCAGGCGGUUUUGUAAGUCAGAUGUGAAAUCCCCCGAGCUCAACUUGGGAACUGCGUUUGAAACUACAAGACUAGAAUAUGUCAGAGGGGGUAGGAAUUCCACGUGUAGCAGUGAAAUAGCGUAGAGAUGUGGAGGGAAUACCAAUGGCGAAGGCAGCCCCCUCGGGAGUAAUAUUGACGCUCAUGCACGAAAGCGUGGGGAGCAAACAGGAUUAGAUACCCGGGUAGU
rnacentral:rRNA from 1 species